UGGAACAACGAUAUGAACUAACCAGUACCCCCAUAG
rnacentral:misc_RNA from 1 species